rnacentral:antisense_RNA from 1 species
UACACUCCAAAAUUUCUAAAGAAAAAGGAGAGAGAGAAAAAAAAAGUAAAAGAAAAGAAACCCAAAAGGGAAAAUACAGCUAAGGUGAACUGCAAAACCACAUUCCUGCUGCUGUCAGUUAUGAUGCACUGAGAAAACUUCAGAGACCUAAACAUUUUCCAGAGAAGAGAAGCUUUACUGGUGUUCCAGUCCUAAGCAACCAUCUUUCCUGUGAAAAAUCCCCUCUCCUAGUACUUUAGUUCUGUGGAUCCAAAAAUUAUAGCAUUCUUCUCCCACCACGGGGGCUCAUAACGACAUUAACAGACACUUUUCAGAAAGACAG